rnacentral:lncRNA from 1 species
AUUGGUGGUCUUCUUUACAAAGAAUCAAGAUAUCUGAUUCCCAGUAGUGACUGCCUAAGUACUGCUUCCCAAGAUGGCUGCUCUGCCCAGAGAACUUCAGCUGUCAAAAGAUGGCAGUUGACAAUGGCUUUUUCUAAUCCUCUAGGGGGCCCCUUGUAAUAAAGGGGUGUAGGAAGAGAGGAGAGGAAGAGAAUGGAGUCUUCCCUCCCUCCAGGCAAGGACCAAGGAGUAGGAGAUCAUUUUGCGGGUUUUAUCAUCUGUAAAAUGAGUAGGGUUGGACUAAGAUGGCCACCAAGAUCCCUUCCAGAUCCAAAUCCAUUGUCCUAUGGCCUGAUGUCUUAUACUUUUUCAAAAAUCCUCCAAAGGUACUCUAAAAGAUAUGUGUGUUUUUAGAAUGUUGGAGAGGAGUAUGACAUGAGUACCAGUACAGUAAGUAGUAGGCUCUCCAUCUGUUAUCACUUGCUCUUAUUAGAUGGCUUCAAAGUGCAUUCUCAAAAUGGGACAUUCUUUGAGU